UACGUAGGGUGCGAGCGUUAAUCGGAAUACUGGGCGUAAAGCGUGCGCAGGCGGUGAUGUAAGACAGAUGUGAAAUCCCCGGGCUCAACCUGGGACCUGCAUUGUGACUGCAUCGCUAGAGUACGGCAGAGGGGGAUGGAAUUCCGCGUGUAGCAGUGAAAUGCGUAGAUAUGCGGAGGAACACCGAUGGCGAAGGCAAUCCCCUGGGCCUGUACUGACGCUCAUGCACGAAAGCGUGGGGAGCAAACAGG
rnacentral:rRNA from 1 species